rnacentral:rRNA from 1 species
AUUGAACGCUGGCGGCAUGCCUUACACAUGCAAGUCGAACGGUAACAGGUUAAGCUGCCGCGUGGCGAACGGGUGAGUAAUGUAUCGGAACGUGCCCCGUCGUGGGGGAUAACUGCUCGAAAGAGCAGCUAAUACCGCAUACGACCUGAGGGUGAAAGCGGGGGAUCGCACGACCUCGCGCGAUUGGAUCGGCCGAUAUCAGAUUAGGUAGUUGGUUAGGUAAAGGCUCACCAAGCCGAAGAUCUGUAGCUGGUCUGAGAGGACGACCAGCCACACUGGGACUGAGACACGGCCCAGACUCCUACGGGAGGCAGCAGUGGGGAAUGUUGGACAAUGGGCGCAAGCCUGAUCCAGCCAUGCCGCGUGAGGGAAGAAGGCCUUCGGGUUGUAAAACGCUUUUGUCAGGGAAGAAAAGGUUCUGGCUAAUACCUGGGACUCAUGACGGUACCUGAAGAAUAAGCACCGGCUAACUACGUG